UACGUAGGGUGCAAGCGUUAAUCGGAAUUACUGGGCGUAAAGCGUGCGCAGGCGGCUUUGCAAGACAGAUGUGAAAUCCCCGGGCUUAACCUGGGAACUGCAUUUGAAACUAUGGAGCUAGAGUGUGUCAGAGGGGGGUAGAAUUCCACGUGUAGCAGUGAAAUGCGUAGAGAUGUGGAGGAAUACCGAUGGCGAAGGCAGCCCCCUGGGAUGACACUGACGCUCAUGCACGAAAGCGUGGGGAGCAAACAGG
rnacentral:rRNA from 1 species